AGUAGUAUGAGUGAGCUUAAAAGAUUGGGAGCACCUUCAGACCACAAGGUACUGCAAGAGGAAAGAACAUUCGUCCUUCUGCCACCUAAAGGCAAAUUGUUUAUAUUUUGGCAUAUUCCUCAAUUUUUAAUGCAUUUUUACAUAUCUCAGAUAAUAUGGCUCAUUUCUGUUUGGAUUCACAAUGACUUCAUAUUCUACUGCCGCAGGGAUUCAUGUAGCUACCUGAAACCUC